UACGUAAGGACCGAGCGUUGUCCGGAAUCAUUGGGCGUAAAGGGUACGUAGGCGGUCUAGUAAGUUAGAAGUGAAAGGCAAUAGCUCAACUAUUGUAAGCUUUUAAAACUGCUAGACUUGAGAGAUUGAAGGGAAAGUGGAAUUCCUAGUGUAGCGGUGAAAUGCGCAGAUAUUAGGAGGAAUACCGGUGGCGAAGGCGACUUUCUGGCCAUAAACUGACGCUGAGGUACGAAAGCGUGGGUAGCAAACAGG
rnacentral:rRNA from 1 species